CGGCCUUAGGGUUGUAAACUCCUGUCAUGAGGGAGCAAAGCUCUUCGGAGCCUGAUAGUACCUCAAGAGGAAGGAACGGCAAACUCUGUGCCAGCAGCCGCGGUAAUACAGAGGUUCCAAGCGUUGUUCGGAUUCAUUGGGCGUAAAGGGUGCGUAGGUGGCGUGGUAAGUCAAAUGUGAAAUUUCGGAGCUCAACUCCGAACUGCAUUCGAUACUGCCAUGCUAGAGGACUGGAGAGGAGACUGGAAUUCACGGUGUAGCAGUGAAAUGCGUAGAGAUCGUGAGGAAGACCAGUGGCGAAGGCGAGUCUCUGGACAGAUCCUGACACUGAGGCACGAAGGCCAGGGUAGCGAACGGGAUUAGAUACCCCGGUAGUCCUGGCAGUAAACGUUGCACGUUUGGUGUGGGAGGAUUCGACCCCUUCCGUGCCGGAGCUAACGCGUUAAACGUGCCGCCUGGGGAGUACGGUCGCAAGAUUAAAACUCAAAGAAAUUGACGGGGGCCCGCACAAGCGGUGGAGUAUGUGGCUUAAUUCGAUGCAACGCGAAGAACCUUACCCAGCCUUGACAUGCAUCUCUAAGUAGGUGAAAGCCUGCGAGUCUUCGGACAAUUUGCACAGGUGCUGCAUGGCUGACGUCAGCUCGUGUCGUGAGAUGUUGGGUUAAGUCCCGCAACGAGCGCAACCCCUGUGAACUGUUGCUAUCCUUUUGGAGCACUCUGUUCAGACUGCCCUGUCGAACGGGGAGGAAGGUGGGGACGACGUCAAGUCUGUAUGGCCCUUAUGGCUGGGGCUGCACACGUACUACAAUGCCCAGUACAAUGUGAACCAAAACCGCGAGGUGGAGGAAAUCGAUAAAACUGGGCCCAGUUCGGAUUGGAGGCUGCAACUCGCCUCCAUGAAGCC
rnacentral:rRNA from 1 species